UACGUAGGGAGCAAGCGUUGUCCGGAAUCAUUGGGCGUAAAGCGCGCGUAGGUGGCCUCAUAAGUCCGCUGUGAAAGUCAAAGGCUCAACCUUUGAAAGCCGGUGGAUACUGUGAGGCUAGAGUACGGAAGAGGCGAGUGGAAUUCCUGGUGUAGCGGUGGAAUGCGCAGAUAUCAGGAGGAACACCAAUAGCGAAGGCAGCUCGCUGGGACGUUACUGACACUGAGGCGUGAAAGCGUGGGGAGCGAACAGG
rnacentral:rRNA from 1 species